rnacentral:misc_RNA from 1 species
UAUCAAAGGGACAUUUGAAGAGUUGCUUUAAAUGAGAUUCAGGCCUAGCCAUCUUGAAAAUCAAGCCACGAACUUUUUCCAAUGAUCCUGUCUGUGUUUCGUGAGCUGAUUGUGAGCUUCUAAUCUCUACUAGAACAUUUUACUGAUGUAAUUCUUAUGUUUAUUAAAACUCUGAGUGAACAUGAAAAAUUAACACAUUCAGUGAACACAAACGAAGGAAGAG